GACUCUCCUCCUCCUCAGUCUCUCCUCUUCCACAGACUCUCCUCCUCCCCAGUCUCUCCUUCUCCCCAGUCUCUCCUCCUCCUCAGACUCUCCUUCUCAUUCUCUCCUCCUCCCAGUCUCUCCUCCUCCUCAGACUCUCCUCCCUGGUCUCUCCUCCUCAUCAGACUCUCCUCCUCCCUGGUCUCUCCUCCUCCCCAGUCUCUCCUCCUCCUCAGACUCUCCUCUUCCCUGGUCUCUCCUCCUCAUUCUCUCCUCCUCCCCAGUCUCUCCUCCUCCUCAGUCUCUCCUCUUCCACAGACUCUCCUCCUCCCCAGUCUCUCCUUCUCCCCAGUCUCUCCUCCUCCUCAGUCUCUCCUCUUCCACAGACUCUCCUCCUUCCCAGUCUCUCCUUCUCCCCAGUCUCUCCUCCUCCUUAGUCUCUCUUCUUCCACAGACUCUCCUCCUUCCCAGUCUCUCCUUCUCCCCAGUCUCUCCUCCUCCUCAGUCUCUCCUCUUCCACAGACUCUCCUCCUCCCCAGUCUCUCCUUCUCCCCAGUCUCUCCUCCUCCUCAGACUCUCCUUCUCAUUCUCUCCUCCUCCUCAGUCUCUCCUCUUCCACAGACUCUCCUCCUCCCCAGUCUCUCCUUCUCCCCAGUCUCUCCUCCUCCUCAGACUCUCCUUCUCAUUCUCUCCUCCUCCCCAGUCUCUCCUCCUCCUCAGACUCUCCUCUUCCCUGGUCUCUCCUCCUCAUUCUCUCCUCCUCCCCAGUCUCUCCUCCUCCUCAGUCUCUCCUCUUCCAUAGACUCUCCUCCUCCCCAGUCUCUCCUCCUCCUCAGUCUCUCCUCCUCCUCAGUCUCUCCUCUUCCACAGACUCUCCUCCUUCCCAGUCUCUCCUUCCCCCCAGUCUCUCCUCCUCCUCAGACUCUCCUUCUCCCUGGUCUCUCCUCCUCCCCAGUCUCUCCUCCUCCUCAGACUCUCCUCUUCCCUGGUCUCUCCUCCUCAUUCUCUCCUCCUCCCCAGUCUCUCCUCCUCCUCAGUCUCUCCUCUUCCACAGACUCUCCUCCUUCCCAGUCUCUCCUCCUCCUCAGUCUCUCCUCUUCCACAGACUCUCCUCCUUCCCAGUCUCUCCUUCCCCCCAGUCUCUCCUUCUCCCCAGUCUCUCCUCCUCCUCAGACUCUCCUUCUCAUUCUCUCCUCCUCCCCAGUCUCUCCUCCUCCUCAGACUCUCCUCUUCCCUGGUCUCUCCUCCUCAUUCUCUCCUCCUCCCCAGUCUCUCCUCCUCCUCAGUCUCUCCUCUUCCACAGACUCUCCUCCUCCCCAGUCUCUCCUCCUCCUCAGUCUCUCCUCCUCCUCAGUCUCUCCUCUUCCACAGACUCUCCUCCUCCCUAGUCUCUCCUUCUCCCCAGUCUCUCCUCCUCCUCAGACUCUCAUUCUCUCCUCCUCCCUAGUCUCUCCUCCUCAUCAGACCCUCCUCCUCCCUGGUCUCUCCUCCUCCUCAUUCUCUCCUCCUCCCCGGUCUCUCCUCCUCCCCAGUCUCUCCUCCUCCCCAGUCUCUCCUCUUCCUCAGAUUCUCCUCCUCAGACUCCUCCGUGUCUGGGCCUCGUGGUGCUUCGCUGUGACUCACUCUCGGCCUCUCAGGCUUCAGGCUCUCCCGUCGUCGCGUCACACCGAUUACAUAACGAUGCUCGUGUUCUGUGCUCUGCGUGUGGAACCCGUUUUGCUCCACGGCCCGGUUGAGGCUCCACCAUCUGACCUUCAGGUCCACAGGAGGCUGUCAACCAUUAGGUGUUGGUGCAUUGUGUCAUGGAGGCGCAGUGGAGACUGA
ensembl:lncRNA